rnacentral:rRNA from 1 species
UCAGAGGUGAAAGCCCAGGGAUUAACCUUGGAACUGCCUUUGAUACUGGGCAUCUUGAGUACGGGAGAGGUGAGUGGAACUCGGAUGUAGAGGUGAAAUUUGUAGAUAUUCGGAAGAACCCCAGUGGAGAAGGCGACUCUCUGGCCCGUUACUGACGGUGAGGCGAGAAAGCGGGGGGAGCAAACAGGAUUAGAUCCCCGGGUAGUCCACCCUGUAAACGAUGAGUUUUAGUGUCGGCAGCUAGCACUCAGUGUCGCAGCUA